rnacentral:lncRNA from 1 species
ACAAGCUGGGAAUCACCGCGAACAACCAGGCGCUUAAUGUCGAGGGCGACCGCAGCCCGCAGCCCGGCAAGCAGGCCUUCGUACUCCGCCGUGUUGUUGGUGGAGUUAGCGAAGUCGAGUUGGACGGCGAACCGCAGCUGGUCCCCUGUGGGUGACUCGAUGACGACCCCGGCUCCCGCUCCCUGGAGAUUGAACGCACCGUCGAAGUAGAGGACCCAGGGGCCCUCGUCCAGCUUGCCGGGAAGGCCGGUCUCCGACUGUAACAUCCCAAAAUUUCAAACCUUUACAUGUGCAUUGCAUCCAUGAGCAUCAUGACAUAAUUGCAUGUUUGAAUUCAAAUUUUGAAUCACAAAAAGCUUUAAGAGAUUUUGUUUACAUCCCUGUAACCUUUGGAUUUUUCAAACCAAUAGGGUUGAUGUAUAAAAAGGGUUUAAUGCAUAUGUAAGCUAUCCCAUAAUUUUUGGUUAACUAAUUGGAGUUGAAAAAAUAUUUUAUUCAAACAGAUCUAUAGCCCUAAAGUCAUUUAUAGGGCAAAUGUAUUUUUAUAUAUUUUAUUUUGAAGAGAAACUACUUCCAAAAGUUGUAUCAUGGUAGAACAUGAUUUUACAAAUUUUCUGGAAUUUAUUUGGACCAAUUUGGAGUUCAAACACAAAAGAUAUCAAAGAAAUGAGAAAAACAGAAAAAGAAAAGGCCUAAAAGAAAAAAAAAGGGGUAAACCGGACCGGCCCGGCCAAAAUGGGCCGAACCGGCCCAGUCCGACCGCGCCCGACCGGUCCAGACCGCCCGGUCCGCGCGCGCGCGCCCGCAGUCGCUGACAGGUGGGGUCCACCUGUCAGCUGCGUCUUCCCCGAAGGAAAGCGCCGCCGGUCACGCGCGCGAUUUCCGGCCGCCGUCCCCGCGCGCCCGCCGCCGCAAUCCGCUCCUCCGGCCUUCCAUUUUCAUGCCCGAGCACUCCUUUAUAACCCCCGCGACCUCCUCUCUCUUUCCCCCUUGUUUCCUCAUCCGAUCGCGCCGCCGGGCUGCCCCG